GUAACUGCCUACACCGUUGCCUAUGUUUUCCUUGCUGUGAUCUUGUCCUCCGUGGUUGACGUUUUGGUGUCUUCUGUUCCAGCAUCUCCAUCUCCCCCUCUGGCCACGCUGAGGACUUUCUUCAGGAGACGUUGCAGCAGCUUCUAUGUCACAGGCACAGGAACCAGGGCCUAGGGGCUGCAGCUGGAAACCAGGUCCCCACAGUUCUGGACACUUCACAAACAGAGAUGGUCUAUUGAUGAUGCAGUGUGGGGUAGAUUGGGGUGCUGUUCCUUUACUGUUAGCACAAAGCUACCAAAAUGUUGAUUGCCCAGCUAGGAGCCCUGACAGUCCCCAGCGAAUAAUCACAGGGAGUAACUGAGAUACUCCAGUGGAGGUGACCUCGGUAGCACUCAUAAUGAGCGUGAGAAGCAUGGAGAGUCCUUAUGAAAUGUUGCAAAGAACUGCUGUUAAGGGUAAGUGUGAAGGGCCUGGGGUUGUCAUUGACUCAUGCACAGAUGAAGCCAGAAGGAACCAUCCAGCCUGACCUUCAGCAUAAGACAGGCAAAGAGCCCGGCUUCCAUCUAGGCACUGAAGCAAAGUCACCAGAUUUUAAAAACCUCUGUUCCCCAGUGGCAACUGUUGGGAGUGAGGCACAUUUUUAAAUAUGGCCAUGUGGUUUAGUGACCUUACUAGGAACUGAGUUCUGCAGGAGAUCUGGCCAUAAACCUGGAUGGUGGCAUGACAGAGAUGGUGACUUUGAUGAAGCAGGGCAGGAGGUGCAUAGAGACUGUCUCACUGUUUCCUGCUACACUCACAUUGGUUUGUAUCCAGCUGCUGCCUCUUGUUUUGUGUUGAUUCCAAGCUCUCGGGCAGGAACCAUUUUGUUCAGUGUUUGCACAGAACCUUGCACCAUGGGCUCCUACUAUCCAGGAGUACUGUGCUGUGCCGUAUAGUACCACUA